UGUAGCCUAUAGGUUGGCAUUGCCACCCAGUAUUGGAGACGUGCACAAUGUGUUUCAUGUCUCUCAGUUAAGAAAGUAUGUGUUUAAUCCAAAGCAUUUGCUUAAGCCAGAUAAAGUAGUCCUAGCCAGGACUAAAGUUAUGAAGAGAAACCAGUCCAGAUACUUGAUCGCAAGGUUCAAGUUUUAUGAGACAAUAAUAUUGUUCUCGUCAUGUAGUGGAACCAUCACAGGAUGGAAAAUGCCACAAAAGAAAUGAAUGAAAUGAAAGACUAGUAUCCCAAGCUAGAAUACCAGAUAUGUAAUUUCGAGGACGAAAUUUUUUUUUUAGGAGGGAGGGAUGUAAUAUCCCGUUUCCUCGAGCUAAGUCUAGAAUAAUUUUUUAAUUUAGAAUUUAUUUUAAACUUAGAAUUAAGAUGAUUCACGCCGGAUUGAGAAAAAAAUGAAUUUAUUUUAAUUCCAACAAAGACGAUUUACAAAAAUAUAUUUUGUAAAUUUAGUUAUUAAAUUUAUGUGCAUCGCAUAUUUAUUUAAUUUAGCAUUCAAGCAUUUUCAUGAGCUAUUUAUUUAAGCAAACAUUGAACGAUUAUUACAGUUUUCAUAGUACAACCCGGAAGAUUUUUAUUUUAUUUUAUUUUACUCCACUACACCCACUACCCACUACACCUACUCCUUAUUUUAUUUUAUUUUACUCCACUACACCCACUACCCACUACACCUACUCCUACACAGCAAUACAUUCGUCCACUCCUCUCUGUCUGCCAUAUCUCAAUUAUUCUCGCAAGGAAGAAAUUCAAUGCACAUCUCUAUCUCCAGAAGUUCAACAACAUCAUAUUCACUAACCAUUCGUCUCUACACAGAACACUAUAAGGCUUUGUGACCAGGGGGAUUAGCGCUGCUUUCCCAAGACAGGUUUUUAUGUGUAUGAUCUUCAGGCUUUGCCUAUCCAGGUUGGCUGGCCGGUGCUGACGGGACGGAGCUGAGGCUAGCGAUAAAUUCCUAUGUUAGACUUCCGCUGUAGCAAUUACUCAUAUCAGUCUUUUUGUUUUCCCAACUUAAGAUCUUCAUGUUAAAUUUCAAAUAAUAUAUUUGACCGAGCUUAGACUUU